GAAAGUCGUAACAAGGUCUCCGUAGGUGAACCUGCGGAGGGAUCAUUACAAGAACGCCCGGGCUUCAGCCUGGUUAUUCAUAACCCUUUGUUGUCCGACUCUGUUGCCUCCGGGGCGACCCUGCCUUCGGGCGGGGGCUCUGGGUGGACACUUCAAACUCUUGCGUAACUUUGCAGUCUGAGUAAACUUAAUUAAUAAAUUAAAACUUCUCACAACGGAUCUCUUGGUUCUGGCAUCGAUGAAGAACGCAGCGAAAUGCGAUAAGUAAUGUGAAUUGAAGAAUUCAGUGAAUCAUCGAAUCUUUGAACGCACAUUGCGCCCCCUGGUAUUCCGGGGGGCAUGCCUGUUCGAGCGUCAUUUCACCACUCAAGCCUCGCUUGGUAUUGGGCAACGCGGUCCGCCGCGUGCCUCAAAUCGUCCCGCUGGGUCUUCUGUCCCCUAAGCGUUGUGGAAACUAUUCGCUAAAGGGUGUUCGGGAGGCUACGCCGUAGAACAACCCCAUUUCUAAGGUUGACCUCGGAUCAGGUAGGGAUACCCGCUGAACUUAAGCAUAUCAAUAAGCGGAGGA
rnacentral:sRNA from 1 species